AGGGCCCCAGGUGACGUACGGCACGGUGUGAGGAGGCCGUACAUUGUGCAGAGCGAUGGCGGAAAGUGCUGCAUUGCGUGCGACCUCCCUACACGGCGCUGGGUCUCUCCGGCCAGAGACA
rnacentral:precursor_RNA from 13 species